rnacentral:rRNA from 1 species
UACGGGGGGGCAAGCGUUGUUCGGAAUUACUGGGCGUAAAGGGUUCGUAGGUGGCUUGCUCAGUCAGACGUGAAAUCCCUCAGCUUAACUGGGGAACUGCGUCUGAUACUGGCGAGCUUGAGUGCAGGAGAGGAACGCGGAAUUCCAGGUGUAGCGGUGAAAUGCGUAGAUAUCUGGAGGAACACCGGUGGCGAAGGCGGCGUUCUGGACUGCAACUGACACUGAUGAACGAAAGCCAGGGGAGCAAACGGG